rnacentral:pre_miRNA from 1 species
UUGGUGGAUUUGAAGACUUCAACUUGCAAACUUGAAGAAUUUGAUAACUUCAACUUGGAUACUUGGAGGAUUUGAAGACUUCAACU